rnacentral:lncRNA from 1 species
CUGGCGUUUUUGCAUGAAAGUGUUCAAAAAUGAUUCAGAGUUAGAGCAAAAAAUAGUCUGCAGAGCACCAAUAGUACUGAUCAAUGCCGCAUGUCUUCCCGGUUGUGUUUUUAGAUAGUAUAAAGAUCUUUCUUUACUUUUCGUGGAAGGUUUAAAGUCAUUGUCAAUGAUAACCAUCUCUAUCCGUCUCUGGUUAGAUUUGGCUUUGAAAGCUUUUACGUAUCACUUCAUAAUAUUUACU